AUUGAACGCUGGCGGCAGGCCUAACACAUGCAAGUCGAACGCGUGGCGGACGGGUGAGUAAUAUGUGGGAAACUUCCCGAAGGCGGGGGAUAACAAAGUGAAAAGGUAGCGCAAACCCCACACCCUCGUGUGUGUCCAGAUGGGAUUGGCGAGUGGGUGUGGGAAAGGCUCACCCGGGCGACGAGCCCUGGCGGGUCUGAGAGGAUGACCAGCCACACUGGAACGGAGACACGGUCCAGACUCCUACGGGAGGCAGCAGUGGGGAAUAUUGCACAAUGGGGGCAAGCCUGAUGCAGCCAUGCCGCGUGUGUGAAGAAGGCCUUCGGGUUGUAAAGUACUUUCAGCGGGGAGGCGUUACCCGCAGAAGAAGCACCGGCUAACUCCGUGCCAGCAGCCGCGGUAAUAC
rnacentral:rRNA from 1 species